CUCUAGAGGGAAGCACUUUCUGUUGUCUGGAAGAAAAGAAUGCGCUUCCCUUUAGAGGG
rnacentral:pre_miRNA from 1 species